GGUUUUGAUAAAUCCCCCCCAGGAUUGCUUCUUUAAAACGAACAUCAAUUGGUCUGCAUCCAUGACUGCCAGGAGGGAACUAGCUGACAUCAUUUGGCUACCCUGACAUACCACUCCGGGUGAAGGACUGUAUCACUGGGUCUGAACAUCUGUCGAUAAAAUCAGGAGGUGAAGAAGAUGGUAAUAAAAAAACGGAAAGGCUAUAACUGAUCAGGAAGGAACUGCACUCACAAAUAACUUGAGGAAUUUAAGAAUACGUUUGUGUGUUAAUAUAUAGAGGGUA